AUGCUAAGCUCCAUGAAGACAGCAGGUCAUGAUAGUUCUAAAGGGUGGAACAUCUCAGGUACCCUAGAGAUGUUGGGGAAGAAAUUGGACCUGGUGCAUAGAUGGAGAAAUGAACUUCAUACACAAGGUCUUCUCUGUUGCCCACGCUGGAGUACAGUGGCAUGAUCAUGGCUCACUGCAGCCUUGACCUCCUGGGCUCAAGCAAUCCUCCCACCUCAGUGUCCUGA
rnacentral:lncRNA from 1 species